CCUACGGGAGGCAGCAGUGAGGAAUAUUGGUCAAUGGGCGGAAGCCUGACGCAGCGACGCCGCGUGAGGGAUGAAGGUCUUCGGAUCGUAAACCUCUGUCAGCAGGGAAGAACGGUCACUGUGCUAAUCAGCAGUGAAUUGACGGUACCUGUAAAGGAAGCACCGGCUAACUCCGUGCCAGCAGCCGCGGUAAUACGGAGGGUGCGAGCGUUAAUCGGAAUUACUGGGCGUAAAGCGCUCGUAGGCGGUAUGUCAAGUCAAGGGUGAAAGCCCCGCGCUUAACGUGGGAACUGCCUUUGAAACUGGCAAACUGGAGUGUGUGAGAGGAUAGUGGAAUUCCAGGUGUAGGAGUGAAAUCCGUAGAUAUCUGGAGGAACAUCAGUGGCGAAGGCGACUAUCUGGCACAUAACUGACGCUGAGGAGCGAAAGCGUGGGUAGCAAACAGGAUUAGAUACCCUUGUAGUC
rnacentral:rRNA from 1 species